GGGUCUGUGGCAGAGCGGUUGAAUGCACCGGUCUUGAAAACCGGCGUGCUGAAAAGCAUCGUGAGUUCGAAUCUCACCGGACCCGCCA
rnacentral:tRNA from 2 species